rnacentral:rRNA from 1 species
ACACUCCUACGGGAGGCAGCAGUGGGGAAUAUUGCACAAUGGGCGCAAGCCUGAUGCAGCCAUGCCGCGUGUGUGAAGAAGGCCUUCGGGUUGUAAAGCACUUUCAGCGGGGAGGAAGGCAAUGCGGUUAAUAACCGUGUUGAUUGACGUUACCCGCAGAAGAAGCACCGGCUAACUCCGUGCCAGCAGCCGCGGUAAUACGGAGGGUGCAAGCGUUAAUCGGAAUUACUGGGCGUAAAGCGCACGCAGGCGGUCUGUCAAGUCGGAUGUGAAAUCCCCGGGCUCAACCUGGGAACUGCAUUCGAAACUGGCAGGCUUGAGUCUUGUAGAGGGGGGUAGAAUUCCAGGUGUAGCGGUGAAAUGCGUAGAGAUCUGGAGGAAUACCGGUGGCGAAGGCGGCCCCCUGGACAAAGACUGACGCUCAGGUGCGAAAGCGUGGGGAGCAAACAGGAUUAGAAACCCCUGUAGUCCCAUGA